AGAAGGCAAGUCAUCAGCAAAGUUUGAGGUCUAUCUUGAAGGACAGGACAAAUUUGGAUGCACAGUGUCAUUCCAGAUGGGGGAAUGGCAGAGGGGUUGCAGGAUGUAGUGGUCAGUGGUCAAGGAUGGGAAAGUCCUGGUGACCUGAGGAAAUGAGUGGAGCAGAGGUGGGACAUCAGAUGGGUGGGUCCAAACUCACUAUGGUGGAGAAUGGGGAGCUCUCCAGUGUUGACCAAUGGGGUUGUGACGUAAGGGAAGCAGGAAGGAAGAUGUCACAAGGGCAGUGAUCACUCUUUUCUCUUCUGCAUUUUCCUGAGUUGCUCCCUCUUCACACUUCCCUUCUUAAUUGCAAAGUAAUAGUCAAGCCUCUCAGGGUACAUGGAAAACAGUCCUGUGGGGGCAGCAUCCUCCAGCAUCUGGAAGAACCCUGGGAUGCCCAGGACCCAGUGGAUCCUGGGAUCGGGUUAGGAUGGAGGGGACAGGGCUAUGGGGGUGGCCAUGGCUGCUGUUGCUGCUUUUCUGGGCCUUAGGAUUCCAAGCUGUAGGUGAAGGGGAGAGACAAAAGUGCCUCUUGGGAAGAAAGAACUGAACAUCGUAUUCUACUCCUCCAGUCUGAAGGCCUGGCAGCGGGAGAGGAGCCAGGGUCCCCCGGAGACACUGGUGCACAUGAACACUAGGAGAAAAGACCUAAACUGCGCCCAGGCUGGAAGAUACCUCUUGAAGCAUUGUCCCAGGGAAGCUGUAUGCAAGGUCACAGUGACAGCGCUCUGGUGGAAGGACUUGGGGCUGUACCAAAAAUGGCACUGGCCAAAAGAACCAACCAAGGCAAUCUGGAUCCAAUGUGAGUUGUGUCCGGACAAGGGUUGUUCCAUGAAGGCCAAAGAAAAGUGAGUAAGGGCUUAGCUGAGGCCCUGAGCUCAGGGCCCACCUAUGAACUCCAGGGAGCCAGGCCGACCACAUGGAAGACUUUCUUCUGCUCCAGGUGGGCCAAGGGAGUGCUGAAUCCUAGCAGGCAGAAUGACCUUCGCUUUUGUUUCUAUCCUGAAGCCCCAGUGCAAGGGUUGAGUGUUACUACUUCAAGGCAGCAAAAGUCCCAUCCACCAGCCACAGAGGAAAGGAGCUGGGAACAUGCAGGCAUAUCAUACCCCUGACAAUGAGGCACUGCUUAGAAAAUGGGAUAGAAAAUGGAAAUGGAAAUUUAGGAAAAUGGAAUCUGAGUAUCAGCAGCCUCUUCCUCAGAGUUGAAGGAAUGGGCUCAACCGAAGUCCAUCCCUACCCAGAACUGUUGGGGAGUGAGAGUCAUGGGUGUGUGUCGGAGAACACUACCUGGAAGGGGAGAAAUGUUGAAAUGUACAAAGGGGGAUGGCAUUCCAUGCCAGGAGCAAGUGGUGGGAACGCAUGCACAGAGUGGGCCAGCUACAGUGGUGGAUAGCUGGGCUGAGUGUCAAGGAGAGGGUAAGGAUAAUGCACGACCAUACAUUCAGAUUGUGGAGACACUGGAA